GGCUAAUUCAGUGCCAGCAGCCGCGGUAAUACUGAAGGUCCAAGCGUUAAUCGGAAUCACUGGGCUUAAAGCGUACGCAGGCGGAUUUGUAGGUAUUUUGUGAAAUCCCACGGCUCAACCGUGGAACUGCAGAGUAAACCACAAGUCUUGAGACAAGUAGGGGUCAGUGGAACUAUGAGUGGAGCGGUGAAAUGCGUAGAU
rnacentral:rRNA from 1 species